UACGGAGGAUCCAAGCGUUAUCCGGAUUUAUUGGGUUUAAAGGGUGCGUAGGCGGCAGAUUAAGUUAGAGGUGAAAUUCCGAGGCUCAACCUUGGCACUGCCUCUGAUACUGGUUUGCUAGCGAGUAGAUGCUGUAGGCGGAAUGUGUGGUGUAGCGGUGAAAUGCAUAGAGAUCAUACAGAACACCGAUUGCGAAGGCAGCUUACCAAGCUACUUCUGACGUUGAGGCACGAAAGCGUGGGGAGCAAACAGG
rnacentral:rRNA from 1 species